UACGUAGGGUGCGAGCGUUGUCCGGAAUUAUUGGGCGUAAAGAGCUCGUAGGCGGCUUGUCGCGUCGGAUGUGAAAGCCCGGGGCUUAACCCCGGGUCUGCAUUCGAUACGGGCAGGCUAGAGUUCGGUAGGGGAGAUCGGAAUUCCUGGUGUAGCGGUGAAAUGCGCAGAUAUCAGGAGGAACACCGGUGGCGAAGGCGGAUCUCUGGGCCGAUACUGACGCUGAGGAGCGAAAGCGUGGGGAGCGAACAGGAUUAGAUACCCUGGUAGUCCACGCCGUAAACGUUGGGAACUAGGUGUGGGCCACAUUCCACGUGGUCCGUGCCGCAGCUAACGCAUUAAGUUCCCCGCCUGGGGAGUACGGCCGCAAGGCUAAA
rnacentral:rRNA from 1 species